ensembl:lncRNA NCK1-DT NCK1 divergent transcript
CGGAGGCUGCGCGGCGGAGAGUAGAGAGCUAGAGGGUGAGAAGCGCUGGGCCGGACCAGAACUGUCUUAGCUUUUCCCUCUGCGGCUGCUCUGGUUGGUUACUUUGAGCCUGCCUCCUCAGCGCCGCAGGAGAGACUUAACAGCAAAAAUGACUGUGUCCUGAGUUCAGCCCCCACUGCUCUGGGAGCUUCCCCCUGGUUUCUGCACCUGAAGAAUGUCAUCCCAGCCGAAGGUUCUUAGGAGCGGGGAGCGACAAAGAAAAACAAAGAAAAGCAGACCUGAAAAUUGGGACCUGGGAGAAAUGGGAACUCAAACCAAAAACAGGAAUCAUCCUUGCUAAUUAGUGCUGAGUGGAUCAGGGACUAACCAGAAUCAGGCAACAAGAAAAUAGACGAGUGCUCUAAACCAGUAUCAUGGCUCCAGUUCCUCUGACAAGGAUUCACAUGGGGUUGCAAUUCUGACUGUGCUGGUGAUGCUGGUUCCAGGUCCCUCAGGAACCCCUCCCCCAGUCUGGUCUGCCCUUGAACUCUAUACUGGCCCCAGGGUAUCCCAGGAUUGUCAGAAAGGCCUGGCCAGGAUUCACCUGGGAGAGGGAUCAGCAUCUCUGCAAAGUUGUUGGAUUGAAAGAACUUUCAUUUUGAGCUACAUCAUUGAAGAGCUUUAAAUCUGAAAAUAAGAAAGACGUUGAACCCUAUUACUCACAUCUCUUUGUCAUUUGAAGCAGAUCCCGAACCACUCAAAAGGACAAAACAAGGAAAUAGCAAUGAAAUUGGAUUCAGUGAAUGGGGUAAGGGUAUUAAGUGUCUGAAAUAUAAGAGAUAAAAAAA